rnacentral:rRNA from 1 species
UACAGAGGUCUCAAGCGUUGUUCGGAUUCAUUGGGCGUAAAGGGUGCGUAGGUGGCGCCGUAAGUCGGGUGUGAAAUUUCGGAGCUUAACUCCGAAACUGCAUUCGAUACUGCGGUGCUUGAGGACUGGAGAGGAGACUGGAAUUCAUGGUGUAGCAGUGAAAUGCGUAGAGAUCAUGAGGAAGACCAGUGGCGAAGGCGGGUCUCUGGACAGUUCCUGACAGCUGAGGCACGGAAGGCCAGGGGAGCAAACGGG